rnacentral:rRNA from 1 species
AGGUUAAGUUAUGAAGGGCGCAUGGUGGAUGCCUUGGCACUAGGAGCCGAUGAAGGACGGGACUAACACCGAUAUGCUUCGGGGAGCUGUACGUAAGCUUUGAUCCGGAGAUUUCCGAAUGAGGAAACUCGAUAAUCUUAAUCGAUUAUCACCAGCUAGAGAAUACAUAUCUAGUUUGGGGGCAGACGUGGGGAACUGAAACAUCUA